GGGAGCCGGCUGAGUCGAGAGGCUCACGUCCGGUUCUGCGAGGGGCUGGGGGUGCGAUUCCCUCGGCCUACUCACC
rnacentral:ncRNA from 1 species